rnacentral:rRNA from 1 species
GACGGAGGAUGCAAGCGUUAUCCGGAAUUAUUGGGCGUAAAGCGUCCGUAGAUGGUUUUGUCAGUCUGCUGUCAAAGCACAGGGCUUAACCCUGUAAAGGCAGUGGAAACUACAAGACUAGAGUGCAGUAGGGGCAGAGGGAAUUCCCAGUGUAGCGGUGAAAUGCGUAGAGAUUGGGAAGAACACCCGUGGCGAAAGCGCUCUGCUGGACUGCAACUGACAUUGAGGGACGAAAGCUAGGGGAGCGAAUGGG